UACGUAGGGGGCAAGCGUUGUCCGGAAUUAUUGGGCGUAAAGCGCGCGCAGGCGGCCCGUAUAGUCGGGUGGUUAAGCUCGGGGCUCAACCCCGAGUCACACUGGAAACGGACGGGCUUGAGUGCAGAAGAGGAGAGUGGAAUUCCACGUGUAGCGGUGAAAUGCGUAGAGAUGUGGAGGAACACCAGUGGCGAAGGCGACUCUCUGGGCUGUAACUGACGCUGAGGCGCGAAAGCGUGGGGAGCAAACAGG
rnacentral:rRNA from 1 species